UACGUAGGGUCCGAGCGUUGUCCGGAAUUAUUGGGCGUAAAGAGCUCGUAGGCGGUUUGUCGCGUCUGCUGUGAAAUCCCGAGGCUCAACCUCGGGUCUGCAGUGGGUACGGGCAGACUGGAGUGCGGUAGGGGAGAAUGGAAUUCCUGGUGUAGCGGUGGAAUGCGCAGAUAUCGGGAGGAACACCGGUGGCGAAGGCGGUUCUCUGGGCCUUACCUGACGCUGAGGAGCGAAAGCGUGGGGAGCGAACAGG
rnacentral:rRNA from 1 species